rnacentral:rRNA from 1 species
UACGUAGGUGGCAAGCGUUGUUCGGAUUCAUUGGGCGUAAAGGGUGCGUAGGCGGCGCGGUAAGUCGGGUGUGAAAUCUCGGAGCUUAACUCCGAAACUGCAUUCGAUACUGCGGUGCUUGAGGACUGGAGAGGAGACUGGAAUUCAUGGUGUAGCAGUGAAAUGCGUAGAGAUCAUGAGGAAGACCAGUGGCGAAGGCGGGUCUCUGGACAGUUCCUGACACUGAGACACGAAGGCCAGGGGAGCAAACGGG